rnacentral:rRNA from 1 species
CUACGGGUCGCAGCAGUCGGGGAUAUUGCACAAUGGAGGAAACUCUGAUGCAGCGACGCCGCGUGAACGAAGAAGGCCUUCGGGUCGUAAAGUUCUGAUGUGAGAGAAGAAGAUAGUGACGGUAUCUCACCAGCAAGCACCGGCUAACUACGUGCCAGCAGCCGCGGUAAUAUCGUAGGGUGCAAGCGUUGUCCGGAAUUACUGGGCGUAAAGGGAGCGUAGGUGGUUAUAUAAGUCUUUAGUAAAAGGCAUUGGCUCAACCAAUGUAGGCUAGAGAAACUAUAUAACUUGAGUACAGUAGAGGUAAGUGGAAUUCCUAGUGUAGCGGUGAAAUGCGUAGAUAUUAAGAGGAACACCAGUGGCGAAGGCGACUUACUGGGCUGUAACUGACACUGAGGCUCGAAAGCGUGGGGAGCAAACAGGAUUAGAUACCCUCGUAGUC